rnacentral:misc_RNA from 1 species
CGCACCUUGCGCUCCUUGGUAUUCCGAGGAGCAUGCCUGUUUGAGUGUCAUGGUAUCAUCAACCUACACCACUUUUGUGUCUGUAGGCUUGGACUUGGAGGUCGUGUCGGCGUUCGCGUCGGCUCCUCUGAAAUGCAUUAGCGUGAAUCUUUACGAAUCGCCCUCGGUGUGAUAAUUUCUACGCCGUAGACGUGCAGUAUUACAGUGUUCGUGCUUACAAUCGUCCGCGAGGACAACAUCAUCAUUUGACAAUCUGACCUCAAAUCAGGUAGGACUACCCGCUGAACUUAA